rnacentral:rRNA from 1 species
AGAGUUUGAUUAUGGCUCAGGAUGAACGCUGGCGGCGUGCCUAAUACAUGCAAGUCGAACGAAGCACUUCGGUGCUUAGUGGCGAACGGGUGAGUAACACGUAGGUAACCUGCCCUCAAGACGAGGAUAACCGUUGGAAACGAUGGCUAAGACUGGAUAGGAACCGAGGAGGCAUCUCUUUGGUUUUAAAGGACCUGGCAACAGGUACGCUUGAGGAGGGGCCUGCGGCGCAUUAGUUAGUUGGCGGGGUGAAGGCCCACCAAGACGAUGAUGCGUAGCCGGACUGAGAGGUUGAACGGCCACAUUGGGACUGAGAGACGGCCCAAACUCCUACGGGAGGCAGCAGUAGGGAAUUUUCGGCAAUGGGGGCAACCCUGACCGAGCAACGCCGCGUGAACGACGAAGUACUUCGGUAUGUAAAGUUCUUUUAUCAGGGAAGAAUGGCUUACGGAAAAGUGAGCGUGACGGUACCUGAUGAAUAAGCCCCGGCUAACUAUGUGCCAGCAGCCGCGGUAAUACAUAGGGGGCAAGCGUUAUCCGGAAUUAUUGGGCGUAAAGGGUGCGUAGGUGGCCGUUUAAGUCUUUGGUGUAAGUGCAAGGCUCAACCUUGUGAUGCUAAAGAAACUGGAUGGCUUGAGUGUGGUAGAGGCAAGUGGAAUUCCAUGUGUAGCGGUAAAAUGCGUAAAUAUAUGGAGGAACACCGGUGGCGAAGGCGGCUUGCUGGGCCACAACUGACACUGAGGCACGAAAGCGUGGGGAGCAAACAGGAUUAGAUACCCUGGUAGUC